GAGAGAGAGAGAGAGAGAGAUAUUUUGGAGAAAAUCAACAUUAAUCCAUAGAUAUUUUAGAAGGCCACCAUAAAUCAUAAUUGCAUAUUUUAUGAACUGUCUUUUCUCCUAGUUUGAACCCACUUCCCCACAUUUACUUCUACCUUGUUCAAGUCCUUCUGUCCUGAAUUUCUGGUAUCUUAGGUCUUGCAUACCCCUACCAUGGCAAUUGACCUACCCAGUAACCUAUCCUUCUGUCUGUGUGGAUCCUUCUAUCGUCCCUCCCUAAGCUGCCCCUUGAGGGCACUUACACAUUGUUUGACUUCUUGUAUAUAUUUUCCCUAAUACUCAUCAUGUCUCCCCAGUAGGACACUGGGGGCAUUUAUAGCUGAUGGAAAAUGUCCGGUAUUUUUUUUUAAAUCAUGUUUGGUUUUCUUUAUUUUCCCUAGCCUGACCUGAGUACAUCUGUAGAUGACGGUGGCCAUAUGAGAGAGCUCUGGAGACUGUGGUGGUCCUGAGCCUGAGAUGUGGGUGUGUUUAUCACUUAAUUUGUAAAGACUGAGAAAAUCCAUCUCUUGGAUGUGUCCCAGGCAGCCCAGAAAGCCCAGAAAGGGGCGGGGGUAUCAGGCAGGAGGAGAGAAGAAAAGGAUUCCCAACCCCUCCAUAAUGUAUUAGCUACAGUGGACCAGUAGUGUCUGGUCCAAUCAGAGUCUGUCAAUUCCAGGGUGCUAGGAGCUAUGGAACACAGCUCAGUUGAUAGAACAACAGUGUUCUCAAGACAACAAUUUGAGGCCACUUCCCCUAACUUGAGCAGUGCCGUGCCUUCAGAAAUGUCCAGAAAAGACUUCUUGUCUUGGGAAAGGUAGAAGUGGGUGGGCCAGGUACGGGAGUCCUUUAGUUCUUGAGUGUCAAAGGGCCUCAGUUUUACCCUCUGCAAGCUGGGAUUGGAAGGACUCUCAGCUGCACUCAAUUUCAGAAAAGCCCAAUGAGCCCUCUGUUUGAAAAGUAGUGACCUGUGGGAUCCCAGGACUCCUUGAGUGAUUGUCUACAGGGGUAGAAUGUGUUUGUCAGCAAGAAGAGAAAGGAGUUGUGCAUGCAAGGGCUUAAAGAGUAAAGUUCUUACUGGGCAAUUUGGCUUUUGACCUAGAUGAGACCCAGGGAUGAGAAAAGUGUCUGCUUUUCUCACAACCAUGUAACCUGGAGACUCUCCCUCUUAAUGUCUUUCCCAUGGGCAUCACUGCUCAUGCUUCUUACCCAGAGACCUUAACAUUUGGCCUCUCUACCUAAAAAGUGACAGAAAGUAUGCAGGGGUAAGUGGUAGGGAGAAAAAGGGUGAGAUUCUGGAGAAUCUGUAGGGUGUGUGCUGCUGAGGCCUCUCAGUCAGGUCCUGUCUUACAGUGUACAUGUAGAUUGUCCAAACUCUGGCUCGUUUCUGCCAUGGGGCCUCUGCCAGAGUUCUGGCUCUUAGGGUUCACCACAGAGAACAAGCCGGAGGCAAGUCCUUCAUGAGCAUGUGCCACCUCAGGUGAUUUCUAACCCCUAAGAAGAGGCUUUCAGUGUGCUGGCUGCCCAAGAGCUACCACUCAUGUCCUUCCAUAGGUGAGCUACAACCAGGAGUUGUCAAAUAAUUUAAUGUGUGCUAGACAACUCUGAGAUGAUAGUGCACAGAGUAGGCCAAGCAGUGCCUCAUGGAACUUAUCUCCAGGCAUGCCAAGGGUAUUGGAUGCACUCACACGAGAGGCUUCCAUUUGUUCAUUCAAAUGAUUCUCAAUUUCAAAAGGAUUCUACCAGAGCAUCUAGCAGAGAUCUAGCAGUACUUCUGGAGCUAGGUUGGCUGAGGUGGGAGUAAGGUUCCCAAAGAAAGGCUUGUACCCUUUUUGUCACUGCCACCACUGGAUGUAGACAGCUUCCGCAAGCAACCUUGAAGUCUGAGCGUCUUUGACCCAGAUUUUGGUUACAGAGCUGACCUACGUGCUCUGAGAUAUUUUUUUUUUCAGUAGGUCCUUUCCAAAGGUACCUGAAAAGACCACCCUUUGGGCAGUUAUCUAUAAAAGUGUGAUAACUUGCACAGGGCUUCCUUCACCCCAAUAUCUCUGAGGAUCCUGGGAUGUACAGAUGGGAGGAAGCCAUGCUUGUUGUAGAUAUGCAGAAGGAAGAGGAAUGAGAACCUGGGUCAUUCAUCGUGUCUCCAACUCUUUGCCUUCCCAGGUUCUCUCCCUUCCAACAGCUCAAGAUGUGAGGGCAUUUGGUUUUGGACAGCCUUUGGAUGGGAUAAAGUGAAGGUGGGGGCACACCCAGUGUCUGGGAUGCUUUUCUCAGCAGGUCAGCUCCUAAUUGGCCAGAAGACUUCAUGAAGAGAACUCCCCACGGGGGCUGAUGCUUCUUGAAGGAAAGGAGGCGUCCUUUGGAACAGCAGCUGGAGUCACGUGGCUUCUUGUGUCUGGUGUCCAAGAAUGGCAGAGAACAUGAACAAUAAGAGAAAAUAAACCCAUUACUCUAUUGAAGGAGAGAGCCACCAUCCUAUAUAUCUUGAUGGAACAUCUGCAUUUUUUUAUCUGUGUAUUGUAUUUGGUAGUUUACUAAAAUCGAUACCAUGCUGUUGAUAUGUUUUUGCCUUUCACUAUCUACAUAAGAUUGUAAUACAUGUGUUUUCCUAGACCACAUAAAUGUUCUACUGAAUGAUCGAGUAGCAUAAGUUUAUUAUUUAUAGCUUCCCAAAUGGCUUGCUCUUUUAUAUCCCCACUGUCACCCUUUGAGCACGGCUGUAUCUCACUGUCACAGGAGAUGGAUGUAGGGGACAUGCUAGUGAGAGACCCAGAUGAGAGAGCAGAGGAGUGGAUG
ensembl:lncRNA